rnacentral:rRNA from 1 species
AGAGUUUGAUCAUGGCUCAGGAUGAACGCUGGCGGCGUGCUUAACACAUGCAAGUCGAACGAAGCAUUUUAGAUGAAGUUUUCGGACGGAUUUUGGGAUGACUGAGUGGCGGACGGGUGAGUAACGCGUGGGCAACCUGCCCUGUACAGGGGGAUAACAGCCGGAAACGGCUGCUAAUACCGCAUAAGCGCACAGGACCGCAUGGUCUGGUGUGAAAAGCUCCGGUGGUACAGGAUGGGCCCGCGUCUGAUUAGGCAGUUGGCGGGGUGACGGCCCACCAAACCGACGAUCAGUAGCCGACCUGAGAGGGUGACCGGCCACAUUGGGACUGAGACACGGCCCAAACUCCUACGGGAGGCAGCAGUGGGGAAUAUUGCACAAUGGGCGCAAGCCUGAUGCAGCGACGCCGCGUGAGCGAAGAAGUAUUUCGGUAUGUAAAGCUCUAUCAGCAGGGAAGAAGAUGACGGUACCUGCACAAGAAGCUCCGGCUAAAUACGUGCCAGCAGCCGCGGUAAUACGUAUGGAGCAAGCGUUAUCCGGAUUUACUGGGUGUAAAGGGAGCGUAGACGGCAUGGCAAGUCUGGUGUGAAAGACCGGGGCUCAACCCCGGGCCUGCAUUGGAAACUGUCAGGCUGGAGUGCCGGAGAGGUAAGCGGAAUUCCUAGUGUAGCGGUGAAAUGCGUAGAUAUUAGGAGGAACACCAGUGGCGAAGGCGGCUUACUGGACGGUAACUGACGUUGAGGCUCGAAGGCGUGGGGAGCAAACAGGAUUAGAUACCCUGGUAGUCCACGCGGUAAACG